AUCAGGCUGUUUGGUCUCAGAGGAAGGCUGUGCUUCUCUGGCCUCAGCUCUGACCUUUAACCCCUCYCAUCUGAAAGAGUUGGACCUGAGCUACAAUCAUCCAGGAGACUCAGGAGUGAAGCUGCUGUUGGCUGGACUGAAGAAUCCACACUGGAGGCUGAAGACUCUCAGGGUGGAGCCUGCCGGAGUCCGAUUUUUGACACCAGGUCCAUGGAGGUGUAAGUUUCUUUUUCAUUUGAUUCAUGACAACAAAGUAACUCACAUUCAACCAUCUUCAAACUGUCACAUUCAGGAGUCGCCAUCAAAGUGUCAAUAAAUGAUCAAUAACUGCAGCUGGAUUGUGUUUGUUCUCUCCAUCAGAUUCCUGUCAACUCACCUUCGACACAAACACAGUGAGCAGAAAACUCAAACUGUCUGAAGACAACAGGAAGGUGACACAUGUGGAGAAGCUUCAGUCAUAUCCUGAUCAUCCAGACAGAUUUGAUGUUCCUCAGCUGCUGUGUAGAACUGGUCUGACUGGUCGCUGUUACUGGGAGGUCAAAUGGAGAGGAGAAGUUCAUAUAUCAGUGACUUACAGAAGAAUUGAGAGGAGAGGAGACUGGAGAAAUUGCUGGUUUGGAUAUAAUGAUUAUUCCUGGAGUCUGAGAUGCUCUGAUCUUUAUGGUUACUCUGUCUGGCACAAUAACAUAGAAACUUGUCUCUCCUCCUCCUCUGUCUCUAACAGAGUAUCAGUGUAUGUGGACUGUCCUGCUGGCAUUCUGUCCUUCUGCAGAGUCUCAUCUGACUCACUGAUCCACCUCCACACCUUCAACACCACAUUCACUGAACCUCUGAUUCCUGGAUUUCGUGUUUGGUCGACCGGUUCUGGUUCCUCAGUGUUUCUGUUAUGAGUUGAGUCUAAAGUUUUUCCUCCUGUCAGAGAAACUCUCUCUGUUGAACAGAUAGUUCAUCUCUACAAUCUAUUUCUUGGUUAAACUUUUCUGAUUGAGUCCUUAGAAACCUUUUCUUCUUCCAGUCAUUUAAAGAUGGAAGCUGGGAUUAUUCCAGGAUCCUCAUGUUUUUCUGUUUGUUUCCAGUCAAAGAUUCAUAGUGAAUAUCAAGAUGUUUCUCUUCUUUUUUCUGUUUCAUUUAACAGUCAGAUUUCAUCGAAAUGUUGGACAGUUUUUCUAAAUCACUGUUUCUGUCUGUUAAACAUGUCAGAUUUGAAUGUCAAAUCUUCCCCUUGUAUAUUUUCUGCCAUAAUUCUUUGUGUUUUAGUUUCUGUUCAAGUUUAGAUAUUGCUGUAAAGAAACUUUUUCAUUUGUAAAUUCUGCCUUCCAGAAAUCUAAAUUAAAAGAUUCCCAUUCAA